GAUCUACUCCCUCCGUUCCAAAUUACUCGUCGCUGAAAUGGAUGUAUCUAGAACUAAAAUACAUCUAGAUAAUCCAUACGUGCGACAAGUAAUUCGGAACGGAGGGAGUAGCUA
rnacentral:pre_miRNA from 1 species